rnacentral:rRNA from 1 species
GGUGCUUGCAUCAUGAUUUACAUUUGAGUGAGUGGCGAACUGGUGAGUAACACGUGGGAAACCUGCCCAGAAGCGGGGGAUAACACCUGGAAACAGAUGCUAAUACCGCAUAACAACUUGGACCGCAUGGUCCGAGUUUGAAAGAUGGCUUCGGCUAUCACUUUUGGAUGGUCCCGCGGCGUAUUAGCUAGAUGGUGGGGUAACGGCUCACCAUGGCAAUGAUACGUAGCCGACCUGAGAGGGUAAUCGGCCACAUUGGGACUGAGACACGGCCCAAACUCCUACGGGAGGCAGCAGUAGGGAAUCUUCCACAAUGGACGAAAGUCUGAUGGAGCAACGCCGCGUGAGUGAAGAAGGGUUUCGGCUCGUAAAACUCUGUUGUUAAAGAAGAACAUAUCUGAGAGUAACUGUUCAGGUAUUGACGGUAUUUAACCAGAAAGCCACGGCUAACUACGUGCCAGCAGCCGCGGUAAUACGUAGGUGGCAAGCGUUGUCCGGAUUUAUUGGGCGUAAAGCGAGCGCAGGCGGUUUUUUAAGUCUGAUGUGAAAGCCUUCGGCUCAACCGAAGAAGUGCAUCGGAAACUGGGAAACUUGAGUGCAGAAGAGGACAGUGGAACUCCAUGUGUAGCGGUGAAAUGCGUAGAUAUAUGGAAGAACACCAGUGGCGAAGGCGGCUGUCUGGUCUGUAACUGACGCUGAGGCUCGAAAGUAUGGGUAGCAAACAGGAUUAGAUACCCUGGUAGUCCAUACCGUAAACGAUGAAUGCUAAGUGUUGGAAGGGUUUCCGCCCUUCAGUGCUGCAGCUAACGCAUUAAGCAUUCCGCCUGGGGAGUACGGCCGCAAGGCUGAAACUCAAAGGAAUUGACGGGGGCCCGCACAAACGGUGGAGCAUGUGGUUUAAUUCGAAACUACGCGAAGAACCUUACCAGGUCUUGACAUACUAUGCAAAUCUAAAAAAUUAGACGUUCCCUUCGGGGACAUGGAUACAAGUGGUUCCUU